GAAGCUUGGCAAGAAAUAUCGACUUCCUAUACCAUCCUGUGCUGUUAAAGAAAUAAGGAAAGCAUUUCCUUCACCUUCUGGCAUAUAUAAAGGCUUUGAAUAUGCACAGCAUUUAUAAAUACCUCUUGCAUUGCCUUGUAAAAGAAAUGUGUAUGCUUUGGUGCAUAUAGUAUAACAACUCGAU